rnacentral:rRNA from 1 species
UCGCAGGAAGAUUCGUUGAACAAGAAGCUGAAGUACAUGAAUCUGAGGGAGGAGGAGGAGGAAGACGUGGUUUUAGAGGAGGGUUUGGAAGAGCUAGAGAAGGAUGCUGAAUUCAUGGCGUUGGCUAGGGUCCAUACUAACAAAAAGUUCAGUCAUGGUGCUUUCUAUGGCAAUAUGAGAUCGGCUUGGAACCUAGAGCAAGAAGUGCAGUUUAGGGCAAUAGAGGAUAACCUGUUUUCAGUACAGAUG